UUAUGAAUAAGGAUCGGCUAACUCCGUGCCAGCAGCCGCGGUAAUACGGAGGAUCCGAGCGUUAUCCGGAUUUAUUGGGUUUAAAGGGAGCGUAGAUGGAUGUUUAAGUCAGUUGUGAAAGUUUGCGGCUCAACCGUAAAAUUGCAGUUGAUACUGGAUAUCUUGAGUGCAGUUGAGGCAGGCGGAAUUCGUGGUGUAGCGGUGAAAUGCUUAGAUAUCACGAAGAACUCCGAUUGCGAAGGCAGCCUGCUAAGCUGCAACUGACAUUGAGGCUCGAAAGUGUGGGUAUCAAACAGGAUUAGAUACCCUGGUAGUCCACACGGUAAACGAUGAAUACUCGCUGUUUGCGAUAUACUGCAAGCGGCCAAGCGAAAGCGUUAAGUAUUCCACCUGGGGAGUACGCCGGCAACGGUGAAACUCAAAGGAAUUGACGGGGGCCCGCACAAGCGGAGGAACAUGUGGUUUAAUUCGAUGAUACGCGAGGAACCUUACCCGGGCUUAAAUUGCAGAUGAAUUACGGUGAAAGCCGUAAGCCGCAAGGCAUCUGUGAAGGUGCUGCAUGGUUGUCGUCAGCUCGUGCCGUGAGGUGUCGGCUUAAGUGCCAUAACGAGCGCAACCCUUGUUGUCAGUUACUAACAGGUUUUGCUGAGGACUCUGACAAGACUGCCAUCGUAAGAUGUGAGGAAGGUGGGGAUGACGUCAAAUCAGCACGGCCCUUACGUCCGGGGCUACACACGUGUUACAAUGGGGGGUACAGAAGGCAGCUACCUGGUGACAGGAUGCUAAUCCCAAAAGCCUCUCUCAGUUCGGAUCGAAGUCUGCAACCCGACUUCGUGAAGCUGGAUUCGCUAGUAAUCGCGCAUCAGCCAUGGCGCGGUGAAUACGUUCCCGGGCCUUGUACACACCGCCCGUCAAGCCAUGGGAGCCGGGGGUACCUGAAGUGCGUAACCGCGAGGAGCGCCCUAGGGUAAAACUGGUGACUGGGGCUAAGUCGUAACAAGGUAGCCGUACCGGAAGGUGCGGCUG
rnacentral:rRNA from 1 species